CGGCCCCAGGUCAGACGGGAUUACCUACUGAGUUUAAGCAUAUCAGUAAGUGGAGGAAAAGAAACGUGCUAGGAUUCCCCUAAUAAUGACGAGCGAACUAGGAAAAACCAAGCUUGAGAAUUAGGCACCAUUGGCAGAUGAAUUGUAGUCUAAAGAAGCGUCAUCUACGGCGGACUGGGCUCAAGUCCCUUAGAAAAGGGCGCUGGAGAGGGUGAGAGCUCGUCGUGCCCGGACCCUAUUGUACCACGAGGUGCUAUUUAAGAGUCGAGUUGUUUGGAAAUGUAGCCCUAAUUGGGCAGUAAAUUUCAUCCAAGGCUAAAUACGGGCGAGAGACCGAUAGUAAACAAGUACCUCGAGGGAAAGAUGAAAAGGACUUUGAAAUGAGAGUUAAAGAGUGCUUGAAAUUAAUGGGUGGGAAGCGAAUGGGGGCCGGCGAUACAUCCCGGUCAGAUGUAGAAUAGCGAGAACUGAUCCGCCGUGUGGCUCGAAGCGAGGAUCGACACGGGUCGUGGCAAAGGCCCAAGCCCGGUCUUUUGAUACGUCCGAGAAGAUAUUGUUGCCUUGGUCGUGGGAUUCAGCACACACCGUCUAAGCAUGCUUGGCACCUGCGGGCUCUCCAUUCAACUUGUCUUGAAACACGGACCAAGGAGUCUGACAUUUGUAUGAGUCAACGGGCUAGAAAACUCGUAAGGCGUAAGGAAAUAAAUUGGUGGGAUCCCUCAUGGGUGCACCGCUGAUCGACCUUGAUCUUUUGAGAAGGGUUCGAGUGAGAGCAUGCUUGUCGGGACUUGAAAGAUGGUGAAAUAUACCUGAGCAGGGUGAAGCCGGAGGAAACUUUGGUGGAGGCCCGCAGCAAUAAUAACGUACAAAUCGUUUGUUUGACUUGGGUAUAGAGGCGAAAGACUAAUCGAACCAUCUAGUAGUUGGUUCCUUCCGAAGUUUCCCUCAGGAUAGCUGGAGCUCUUAGCGAGUUCUAUAGGGUAAAGCCAAUGAUUAGAGGCACCGGGGACGCAACGUCCUCGACCUAUUCUCAAACUUUAAAUAGGUAGGAUGGUGUGGUUGCUUCAUUGAGCUGCGCCAUGAAAUCGAGAGCUCUAAGUGGGCCAUUUUUGGUAAGCAGAACUAGCGAUACGGGAUGAACAUGAAGUCAGGUUACGGUUCCCAACUGUGCAUUAACCUAGAACCCAUAAAGGGUGUUAGUUGAUUAAGACAGUAGAACAGUGGUCAUGAAAGUUGAAAUCCACUAAAGAGUAUGUAACAACUCACCUACCAAUCAACUAGCAUCGAAAAUGGAUGGAGCUUAAGCGCGUGACCUAUACCCGGCCGUCGGGGCAAGGGCCAAGCCACGAUGAGUAAGAGGGCACGGCGAUCAUCGUAAAACCUGGGCCACGAUCCCGGGUAGAGUGGCCGUCGGUGCAGAUCUUAGUGGUAGUAGCAAAACUUUGAAGGCCGAAGAGGGGAAAGGUUCCAUGUGAACAGAACUUGCACAUGGGUUAGUCGAUCCUAAGAGACAGGGAAAGCCCGUCCGAUAUCACGUCCAGCCCUAGCUUCGAAAGGGAAUCAGGUUGAAAUUUUUGCACCGGGAUGUGGCAGCUGACAGCAACAUUAGAGAGUCCAGAAAUGUCAGUGUCGACCUCAGGAAGAGUUAUCUUUUCUGUUUAACGGCUUGUCCACCCUAAAAAUUGCUCAGCCAGAGGUAGGGUCCAGCGGUCAGAAGAGCACCGCACAUCGUGCAGUGUUUGGUGUGCUCUUGGCGGCCCUUGAAAAUUUAGAAGACCGAGUGUCGUCCACGUCUGGUCGUACUCAUAACCAAAUCAGGUCUCUAAGGUGAAUAGCCUCUAGUCAAUGGAACAAUGUAGGCAAGAGAAGUCGGUAAAAUAGAUCCAUAAUGUAACAGCCCGAUUUUGGGUCUAGUCAGAACAGUGGUUUCUGGACCACAAACCCGACGAGAAAAAAAAAUUAUUUUUAUUAUAUUUUUAUAGUCUAUAAAUUUAUGAAAAUAUUUCGUAAAAAUUUCAUUCGAAAAUUUUGACGUUUGAGCACUCAAUUUAGUCAAAAGGACUAAAUUGUAAAAAGUGCAAAAGUUGAGUUCUUUAUAAUGAGGUGCCUAAUUGUUAUGAGUUUUAAAUUGAAAGUCCUUAUGUGAUAAUUAUUCCUUUAAUAAGUUAGUGAAUGGAUAUUUGUUUGGUAUUUUUGAUAUUUGGUUGAAAUAAAAAGGGUAAUUUUGUAAAUUAAUUAAAAUAACCUAAUAAGACAAAAAUGAUAAAAGCUAUCAUUUUUUUUCAUUCUUUCUUCUUCAACCGUGGGAAAGAACUGAAAAUGGCAGCCAUGGAUGAGCUCCAUUCGGCCAAGCUUCUAUGGCUUAUAUAGGUACGGUUUUUGUCUCGUUUUUAAUGAUUUUUGUAUUUUUGAGAUCCCCGAAGCUUAAAUUUUCUAUUUCUACCAAUUGAUUGAAAAGAAAUUAGAGUUUAAAAAUUUACCCAUUCAUGAUAUGGUUGUGUUUUGAUGAUUUAUAGUGGAUAAUGAAUGUUUGAUGUGUUAAAUAUGAGUUUUAUUCAAUGAAUUUCGGUAAAAAUGUCAAAAAGGGGUUAAAUUGUAAAAGUUAUAAAUUGGUCAUAAGUGUGUGAAUUAGUGAAAAUUUGGAGUUGCCAUAGAAGAGAAAAAUGUUCAGCAUGUCUUAAACCUUAUAGAAAUUGAAUAAAAAUUAAUUUACGAGCAUUGGGGCAAAAAGUGCAAAUAUGCAAAAGUUUAGGGGUCAAAAUGAAAAUUUGUAAAAAUAUGAUUUUUAUACCCAUAUGAAUAUUGUGACUGAUUGGUAGGCUAAAUGUGAUAUUAUAGAUCAAGAAAAUCGAGAUUUGGACCUAGAACGGAAAGAAAUCGAUUAAGGGAUGAUUAUGUCCUUUUCACAUUUGUGGUAUCGAGGUAAGUUUGUAUGUAAACAAUACCAUGCUAUACAUGUAUUUAAAUGUUAUCAUUACAUGAAUUGUAUAGAUAUUAAGUGUAUGUGAUUAAUAGAAAUAUGAUAAGACAAAGCCUUAAUAGACGAGGAAAAAUCCCGUUUGAACCAUAGAAAUAGAAUAGGAUACGAGUGACAUGUCACUAGGAAUUAUGAGUCUAGAUAACUAGCCCGAGAGUGAGCAUUGAAACGUCAUGGGAUAUGAGGUAGCUUUAGCUACAAUUGAGGCACUUAUGUGCAAAGGCUUUUCCGAGUAUCCAAUUAGUAUUCCAAGUGUUCAACGGGUAAUCCAAGGAAAGAGUUGAUGAUGGUCCCAACGAGGUAAGUCAUUGGUGAGUAUACACUUGAGUUAUGUUAAGAGUUGUGCAAGUAUGUAUAUUAAGCCUAUGAGAAUGCCUUGAUAUGUGAUGAUCUAUGAUGCAUAAUAUGUGUUCUUACCAUGAUGGAUGAAAUGAUGUUGUAUUAAUUUUGUGAACAAUGAUCAUGAAUGAGUAACUUAGCCUUGACAGAUUUGAGUUACUGUAGUAGUGAAACUUUGAAAAUACACUAAAAAUAGUGGAAAAUUAGUUAGAGGUAGAAUAAAAUAUGAGAUUAAAGCUUAAUGAGUCUAUUUUCACAUGAAAGAAACAGGGGAAGAAAAAGAAUUCUAUAUUGUGUGAUAUUUGAAUUCUUGUAAAACAGGGUCUGAAUGAAUUCGAGAUCCCCUGUUCUAACUUUAGAAAUUCAUCAUAAAUUGUAAAAAAAUUAUUAAGAGUCAUACCUUAGAUACAUGGAUUCCUUAUUGAGUCUAUUUUUAAGGGAAAUAAAUGGCAUUGUCAUUGGAAUUCUGUACAGGGAGAAAUUUGGUUCGUAGUGCACAAGGGUCAGAGUGGUCAUACCCUGAAACAGGGGAGACUUUAACUAAUAAACUGUACUAAAUGGAUAAACCAAAAAUUCUGGAAAUUUUAUGGGAGAAAGGUAUAUGAAUCUAGUUUCAAGUAAAAUUAACGAAACUUAAUUUGGAGUUUCGUAGCUCCAGAUAUAAAUAAUUUAGUGACUAUUGCUCAGGAAGACAGCUUGCAGUGAACUUGAGAAUAUGUUGUAAACAUUGAUAAAACAAGUUAAUGAGUUGCUUAUUGUUUUCAUAUGAACUUACUAAGCGAAAGCUUACCCCCCUUCUUUCCCAUGUUUUCUAUAGUUUCCAGGUUAGCUCGGGUUGAAGGCCGUCAGAGAUAUUAUCACACUGUCGAGUUAACGCUAUCGGCGUAAGUAAACUCAAGUGAUUCUAAUCUAUGGCAUGUAUAGGGUUUUAAUGUGAGUAUGUAAUAUUAUGAUUUAGCCAAAGGCAUUGGCUUGUUAUUAAGGUAGUAUUAGUCAUGUAAAUUGACAUAUGUCGGCUAAUGUCGUUAUGGGCCCAUAUGAUUAUUCUUAUGCAUGUAUGUUAUUAUCUCUUAUGAUGUGACUUACAACAUAUAUGCCUAGAGAUUGAAUUGAGAUUCAUUGAUGACAUGUUGAUAGCUAUAGCAUUAACAUGGUAAAGAUGAAAGAAAAACUUAUUGUAAUGGUUGCAUGUGAAAUUACCAUGGUCAUGUUAUGUUAGGAAGGUUUAAGUGCCUAAUUUUUUCAUGUUGUAUGCUAUUGUAUAAGUAUGCAUGCAUGUGUUGUAAGUGUGACAAAAUGGCUUGGAAAAUAGCCUUGUAUUUGUCCAGGUUUUGGACAUGGGUUCGGGACACGAGCGUGUUCUUAGCACCCGGGCGUGUGUUCUAUACCUAACGGGCGUGUGGAGCCUUGAUACAAGAGAUUUCCUAAGUUUUUCAUGAGUUCUCGGUUGGGUCCCGAACCAUCCCGAAUGCAUGUAUUGGGCCUCGUAAGCUCGCAUAAAGGACAGAUUGCAUGAGAAAAGAAAAGUUUUUAAUUAUUUGAGAUUUCAUGGCCCUGUUUAGUAUGGAAGUGUUAGUAAAAGUCAGGUAGCACCUCGAACCCCGUCCAGGCGUCGGAUGCGGGCGAGGGGUGUUACACAUAACCUCGGGAAAAGGAUUGGCUCUUAGGGUUGGGCACGAGGGUCCUAGUCCCGAACUUAUUGGCUGUCGUUGCACUACUCGAGCUGUACCCAGGUGAAAGCAGUUCACCAUGUGCCGGUUGGGGGACAGAUAGGGAACAGCUCUAUUGGGGGCUUUCCCCAGAUGACGAACAGUCGACUCAGAACUGGAACAGAUAAGGGGAAUCUGAUUGUUUUAGUAAAACAAAGCAUUGCGAUGGUCCUUGUGGAUGCUCACGCAAUGUAAUUUCUGCCCAGUGUUCUGAAUGUCAAAGUGAAGAAAUUCAACCUAGCGCAGGUAAACGGUGGGACUAACUAUGACUCUCUUAAGGUAGCCAAAUGCCUCGUCAUCUAAUUAAUGAUGUAUAUGAAUGGAUUAACGAGAUUUUCACUAUCCCUAUCUACUAUCCAGCAAAACCACGGCCAAAGGAAUAGGCUUGGCAGAAUCAGUGGGGAAAGAAGACCCUAUUGAGCUUGACUUUAGUCUGACUUUGUGAAAUGACUUGAGAGGUGUAGGAUAAGUUGGACCUCUCGGGCGAAAUUGAAAUACCACUACUUUUAAUGUUAUUUUACAUAAUCCUUGAAUCGAGGCAGGGUACGACCCCUUUUUUUCGACCCAAGGCUGGCUUCGGCCGAUUGAUCUGAGUGAAAGACAUUGUCAGGUUGGGAGUUUGGCUGGGGCGGAACAUCUGUUAAAAGAUAAAGUAGGGUCCUAAGAUGAGCUCAACGAGAAAAGAAAUCGUGUGUGGAACAAAAGGGUAAAAAAUCGUUUCAGUCUGAUUUCCAGUAUGAAUAGAAACUGUGAAAGCAUGGCCUAUCGAUCAUUUAAACCUUCGGAAUUUGAAGCUAGAGGUGUCAAAAAAGUUACCAUAGGGAUAACUGGCUUGUGGCGGCCAAGCGUUCAUAGCAAUGUUGCUUUUUGAUCCUUCGAUGCCGGCUCUUCCUAUUAUUGUGAAGCAGAAUUCACCAAGUGUUGGAUUGCUUACCCACCAAUAGAGAACGUGAUUUGGGUUUAGACCGUCAUGAGACAGGUUAGUUUUACCCUACUGAUGGCCACGUCGCAAUCAACCUAGUACAAGAGGAAUCGUUGAUUCGCACAAUUGAUAAUCGCGCUUGGUUGAAAAGCCAGUGGCUCGAAGCUACCGUACGCUAGAUUAUGACUAAACGCCUCUGAGUCAGAAUCUGGGCUAGAACUGACGCACACACCUGUCGCUUGAUUGCUGUCCCGCAGUAGGGGCCUCUAGCUGCCAAGGGCAUGUGUCGUAGGUGCAGCAAUUACCGCGGACAAGUCGCGGGUGCCUCCUUGGAGCGUAAUUCCCACCGAACGAUGGGUAGAAUCCUUUGCAGAUGACUUAAAUACACGACGGGUUAUUGUAACUGGUAGAGUGGCCUUGCUGCCACGAUCCACUGAGAUUCAACCCUUUGUCGCUUCGAUUCAA
rnacentral:ncRNA from 1 species